rnacentral:rRNA from 1 species
CUACGGGGUGCUCCAGUGAGGAAUAUUGCACAAUGGGGGGAACCCUGAUGCAGCAACGCCGCGUGGAGGAUGACGCAUUUCGGUGUGUAAACUCCUUUUAUAUGUCAAGAAAAUGACGGUAGCAUAUGAAUAAGCUCCGGCUAACUCCGUGCCAGCAGCCGCGGUAAUACGGAGGGUGCAAGCGUUACUCGGAAUCACUGGGCGUAAAGGACGCGUAGGCGGGUUGGAAAGUCAGGUGUGAAAUCCUACAGCUUAACUGUAGAACUGCACUUGAAACUUCUAAUCUAGAGUAUGGGAGGGGAGAUGGAAUUAGUGGUGUAGGGGUAAAAUCCGUAGAUAUCAGUAGGAAUACCUAAAGCGAAGGCGAUCUCCUGGAACAUUACUGACGCUAAGGCGUGAAAGCGUGGGGAGCAAACAGGAUUAGAUACCCCCGUAGUC